rnacentral:rRNA from 1 species
UACAGAGGGUGCGAGCGUUAAUCGGAAUUACUGGGCGUAAAGCGCACGUAGGUGGCUUGGCAAGUCGGGUGUGAAAUCCCCGGGCUCAACCCGGGAACUGCGUCCGAUACUGGAAGGCUUGAAUCCGGGAGAGGGAUGCGGAAUUCCAGGUGUAGCGGUGAAAUGCGUAGAUAUCUGGAGGAACACCGGUGGCGAAGGCGGCAUCCUGGACCGGCAUUGACGCUGAGGCGCGAAAGCCAGGGGAGCAAAGCGGG